GACGAACGCUGGCGGCGUGCUUAACACAUGCAAGUCGAACGGAAAGGCCCUGCUUUUGUGGGGUGCUCGAGUGGCGAACGGGUGAGUAACACGUGAGUAACCUGCCCUUGACUUUGGGAUAACUUCAGGAAACUGGGGCUAAUACCGGAUAGGAGCUCCUGCUGCAUGGUGGGGGUUGGAAAGUUUCGGCGGUUGGGGAUGGACUCGCGGCUUAUCAGCUUGUUGGUGGGGUAGUGGCUUACCAAGGCUUUGACGGGUAGCCGGCCUGGGAGGGUGACCGGCCACAUUGGGACUGAGAUACGGCCCAGACUCCUACGGGGGGCAGCAGGGGGGAAUAUUGCACAAUGGGCGGAGGCCUGAUGCAGCAACGCGGCGUGCGGGAUGACGGCCUUCGGGUUGUAAACCGCUUUCGCCUGUGACGAAGCGUGAGUGACGGUAAUGGGUAAAGAAGCACCGGCUAACUACGUG
rnacentral:rRNA from 1 species